UACAGAGGGUGCAAGCGUUAAUCGGAAUUACUGGGCGUAAAGCGUGCGUAGACGGUUUUGCAAGCCAGAGGUGAAAUGCCUGAGCUUAACUUAGGAGUUGCCUUUGGGACUGCGAGGCUUUGAGGACGAGAGAGGUGAGUGGAAUUCCCAGUGUAGAGGUGAAAUUCGUAGAUAUUGGGAAGAACACCGGUGGCGAAGGCGGUCUACCAGAACGCGUUCGACGGUGAGGGAUGAAAGCUGGGGGAGCAAACCGG
rnacentral:rRNA from 1 species